UGGGGAAUAUUGCGCAAUGGGGGAAACCCUGACGCAGCAACGCCGCGUGAAGGAUGAAGGCUUUCGGGUUGUAAACUUCUUUAGCCAGGGACGAAGAAUGACGGUACCUGGAAAAUAAGCCACGGCUAACUACGUGCCAGCAGCCGCGGUAAUACGUAGGUGGCAAGCGUUGUCCGGAUUUACUGGGUGUAAAGGGCGUGUAGGCGGGUUAUUAAGUCAGAUGUGAAAUUCUUGGGCUCAACCCAAGCGCUGCAUCUGAAGCUGAUGAUCUUGAGUACUGGAGAGGGAAGCGAAAUUCCUAGUGUAGGGGUGAGAUGCGUAGAUAUUAGGAGGAACAGCAGUAGUGAAGGCGGCUUUCUGGACAGUAACUGACGCUGAGGCGCGAAAGCGUGGGGAGCAAACA
rnacentral:rRNA from 1 species